GGAGAGAAUGUGACCCUCCAGUGUGGCUCACGGCUGAGAUUCGACAGGUUCAUUCUGACUGAGGAAGGAGACCACAAGCUCUCCUGGACCCUGGACUCACAGCUGACCCCCAGUGGGCAGUUCCAGGCCCUGUUCCCUGUGGGCCCCGUCACCCCCAGCCACAGGUGGAUGCUCAGAUGCUAUGGCUCUCGCAGGCAUAUCCUGCAGGUGUGGUCAGAACCCAGUGACCUCCUGGAGAUUCUGGUGUCAGGAGCAGCUGAUAACCUCAGCCCGUCACAAAACAAGUCUGACUCUGGGACUGGUGAGUGAGGAGAUGCUCUCAGUUAUGGAACUGGCACAGAGGGUCAGGUCCUGUCAAGAUGAUGCGGGUGCCCUGGGGGGACAUCUAGGGGUCCUGGGUGAUAUUGAUCCACCCUGACCUCUGCGACCUCUUUGUCCACCAUCCCCAGCCUCACACCCCCGGGAUUACACAGUAGAGAAUCUCAUCCGCAUGGGCGUGGCCGGCUUGAUCCUGGUGGUCCUUGGGAUUCUGAUAUUUCA
rnacentral:sRNA from 1 species